ensembl:lncRNA ADAM20P1 ADAM metallopeptidase domain 20 pseudogene 1
UGUAACAUCUCCUUUUCAUCUGCAUUUUAUUUAUUUCAGCCUUCUCUCUCUUUUUUUCUUAGUCUAGAUAAAGGCUUGUGGAUUUUGUUUUUUAAACCAGCUCUUCAUUUCAUUGAUCUUUAUUUUAGUCUUUUUUUGUUUAUUUCUUCUCUGAGCUUUAUUAUUUCCUUUUUAGAUUGCCAAUUUUGCCAAUUUUGAGUUUGGUUUGUUCCUGCUUAUCUCUCGCCUAAGUCUUAAAGAUUAAGAGCUUGUGAACAGAAUAUUGGCAGAAAUAUGGACAAUGAAGGCCUUUCUGAUGAGGUCUCAGAUGGAAAUGAGGAAUAUCUUAUUAGAAACUGAAGACAGGCUUUCCAAAAACACUGAGAAUAGACGGAGAAGAUACACUGGGGGAAGAAAAGACCAGCAAACUGCACCAGGUACAAACAGCAGCAUUUUAAAUAUUCAAAGUUUAAUUUUGAGCAAGAGCUCCAGUAGUUUAAAAAAGAGGAUCAGAAUGACAUCCCAAGUGGGCCCCUCAUCUUGUACGUGCAUCAGGCCCAAAAACUUAAUUUCACCUCUGACUGUGAUCAACAUAUUGAUGAAGACUGGCUAUGUGGAUGCUGGAAGAUGGGGAAAACUUGUUUCAAGCUGAACAUUAUCCUUGCCAUUAACUUGCUUAAAGAGGCUGGAUUCAUCUGGGCAGUUUUCACUGCUGCAAGUUAGGCACCUUAUUCCACAAGGUGCAAGUAGCAUGGAAGAGAAAAGCAAAGUUCAUAGGCAAAACUUCCAAGAACAAAGAUCUCUGAAUUGGGAUGAAAUUCUAACUGCCAGAUUUGCUCUCUAUAUCUCUCUUGAUAUGUUUUCUACUUACUAUGGAGUGACAGUUGUUGUGGAUGGGAGGAUUGAAAAUGGGAAGAACUAAUCAAAGAUAUAAUGUUGUGGAAAGGACUGAUAAGCUACACCAACCUGUGUCAUAUUAUUCUUUUUCUUGGAGCUCAGCAUGAGAGCAGGCAAUAACAGGAGAAUAACUUUAAAAAAAUCU